AUGAUCAACAUCAACAGGACCCAGGAAGUCAGGGUGGUCCUGAGGCCUCAGGUGCAGAAAGAGGACCUGAACAGAGCCCAGGAGCAAAUGGCGUUUGGUUAUGACUUGGAUGCACAGAUGAUCCCUGGACCCACACAGCUGAGUACUACCUGCCAAAGAUUUCUGGGUGCCUUUUCCUCCUGUAGCCUGGACCCUGAGGAGAAAUGCUUCCUUGAGACUCUGUUUUUCUGCCUCCUGGAUACGAGGAGCCUAGAGGACCUGCAGCUCCUGCUGACUGAAGAGGAAUCCUGGAAACAUUUUGUGGCAGGAGUUGGUUUGUCCAGGGAAGAGGAAGAUGCCUGAUGGGAAGCUCUUGUUGAGAACUUUACAGAUCCUGAUGAAGAAGAAGAAUAAGAUGAACUCCAAAGAAAGUGACCUUCUGGACAAGAAAGAGAGGAAAGAGGAAGAUGCCUUGAGGGAGGCCCUUGGUGGGAAUACAGCUGAUACUGAUACAGAAGAUGAAGACCAACUCCAAAAUGAUCUGUGGCACCAGGAAAGGUUCUUGGAGGCUUAUCCUCAGGUGAGGCUGGAGCUCGAGGAGUGCAUCAAGAAGCUCCACACCCUGGCAGACAAGGUUGACAAGGUGCACAGGGACUGCACCAUCUCACAGGUGGUGGCCAGCUCCAGCAGUGCUGUGUCUGGAGUCCUCACAAUCCUUGGCCUGGCUCUGGCACCUGUGACAGCAGGAGUCAGUCUGGCACUGUCAGCCACUGGCAUGGGGCUGGGAGCAGCAGCGGCUGUGACUAGUGUUUCCACAAUCAUUGUGGAAAAAGUAAUCGUGGUGUCUGCUAAAGGUAAAGCCAGAAAGCUGGUGCCAACCAAAGACACGAUGAACGGCAUGAAAGAAGUUUUGGAGCAGAGUGGCCCCAGACUUGUUUCUGAAUCCAGAAAUUUCAUCCAGAACGUGAUAAACCUUAAGGAUAACAUUCAAGCCAUCAAACUGAUCAAAGCCAACCCUCGCCUAGCAGCUAAUGCCAAGUUUCUCAUGACCGCAGGGAAGACAUCAACCCAAACUCCUAAACAGGUGAAAGAAGUCUUUGGAAGUACAGCUCUGGCAAUGACCAAAGAAGCCCGGAUCAUGGGUGCAGCCGCUGCAGGUCUUUUCCUCCUGAUAGAUGUGGUCAGGCUUGUGAAACACUCGAAGCAUUUGCAUGAGGGAGCUAAGUCAGUGUCUGCUGCAGAGCUGCGACAGCAGGCUCAGGACCUGGAGCAGAAGCUGCAGGAGCUCAACCAGGUUCACGACAGCCUGAUUCAGUGACCGCUUCCCCUUCAGUGCAGCUCAGAGGACUGGGAGGGAGUGUGCUGGACAGAGCCGUGAACACAUGGGAGGCCCUUUUAGUCUCCAUACUGCCUUGCAGUUCAGCCGAGUGGGCCAUCACAGUGACCGUUCUUUUCUCUCUGACUCCUUCAGAGCUACGGUAGGACAAAAUGUAGAAGCUCUCUUAAGAACCCUGGAAACUUUGCAGGUGGAUUCAUAGAGUUGAUCAUCUCUUCCUCCAUCACUGGGCAAGUGUGGUGGCAGCCUCGUUCCAUCGCCACCCAGAAGACGGUGAAGGAAAGAAUAAAUACAAAGCCAAGGGAAGUGGCUGUCCCAUCACCCACCCAGAGGGUACUGUGUACAGGCUGACAGCCAUGCCAUGCCCAAAGAGGCCUCGAGUGGGAUAACAGUUGUGAGAUCAUCAGGAAACAGAUCCAAGCAUCGCUCGCCUGGUCAGCUCAGGGCAGGAUGCUGUGUG